rnacentral:rRNA from 1 species
AUUGAACGCUAGCGGGAUGCUUUACACAUGCAAGUCGAACGGCAGCGCGGACUUCGGUCUGGCGGCGAGUGGCGAACGGGUGAGUAAUGUAUCGGAACGUGCCCAGUAGCGGGGGAUAACUACGCGAAAGCGUAGCUAAUACCGCAUACGCCCUACGGGGGAAAGCAGGGGAGCGUAAGACCUUGCACUAUUGGAGCGGCCGAUAUCGGAUUAGCUAGUUGGUGAGGUAACGGCUCACCAAGGCGACGAUCCGUAGCUGGUUUGAGAGGACGACCAGCCACACUGGGACUGAGACACGGCCCAGACUCCUACGGGAGGCAGCAGUGGGGAAUUUUGGACAAUGGGGGCAACCCUGAUCCAGCCAUCCCGCGUGUGCGAUGAAGGCCUUCGGGUUGUAAAGCACUUUUGGCAGGAAAGAAACGUCGCGGGCUAAUACCCCGUGGAACUGACGGUACCUGCAGAAUAAGCACCGGCUAACUACGUG